rnacentral:rRNA from 1 species
GAUUUACUGGGCGUAAAGGGCGCGUAGGCGGCGCAACAAGUCACUUGUGAAAUCUCCGGGCUUAACCCGGAGCGGCCAAGUGAUACUGUCGUGCUAGAGUGCGGAAGGGGCUACUGGAAUUCUCGGUGUAGCGGUGAAAUGCGUAGAUAUCGAGAGGAACACCUGCGGCGAAGGCGGGUAGCUGGGCCGACACUGACGCUGAGGCGCGAAAGCCAGGGGAGCGAACGGGAUUGGAUACCCCGGUAGUCCUGGCCUUAAACGAUGGAUACUUGGUGUCCGGGGUUACAUAGUCCCCGGGUGCCGGCGCUAACGCAUUAAGUAUCCCGCCUGGGGAGUACGGUCGCAAGACUGAAACUCAAAGGAAUUGACGGGGACCCGCACAAGCGGUGGAGCAUGUGGUUUAAUUCGACGCAACGCGAAGAACCUUACCUGGGCUAGAAUGCCUCUGACAACCCUGGAGACAGGGCCUUCUGGGUAAAACCAGACAGAGUGCAAGGUGCUGCAUGGCU